rnacentral:snRNA from 1 species
UUGCUUGCUUCAGCAGUGCAUAUACCAGAAUUAUAAUGAUACAGAGAAAACUAGCAUGGCACCUGUGCAAGGGUGACACGCAAAUCCAUCAUGUAUUUCAUAUUUUU